rnacentral:tRNA from 2 species
CAGAGUAUAGCUUAAAUUAAAGCCCCUCGCUUACACCGAAUUAAUGUCCGUUAGACCCGAACUAUUCUGAG